rnacentral:rRNA from 1 species
AUACGUAGGGUGCGAGCGUUGUCCGGAAUUACUGGGCGUAAAGAGCUCGUAGGUGGUUUGUCGCGUCGUCUGUGAAAUUCCGGGGCUUAGCUCCGGGCGUGCAGGCGAUACGGGCAUAACUUGAGUACUGUAGGGGAGACUGGAAUUCCUGGUGUAGCGGUGAAAUGCGCAGAUAUCAGGAGGAACACCGGUGGCGAAGGCGGGUCUCUGGGCAGUAACUGACGCUGAGGAGCGAAAGCAUGGGUAGCGAACAGGAUUAGAUACCCUGGUAGUCCAUGCCGUAAACGGUGGGCGCUAGGUGUAGGGGUCUUCCACGACUUCUGUGCCGUAGCUAACGCAUUAAGCGCCCCGCCUGGGGAGUACGGCCGCAAGGCUAAAACUCAAAGGAAUUGACGGGG